rnacentral:rRNA from 1 species
GACGAACGCUGGCGGCGUGCCUAAUACAUGCAAGUCGAGCGAGUCUGCCUUGAAGAUCGGAGUGCUUGCACUCUGUGAAACAAGAUACAGGCUAGCGGCGGACGGGUGAGUAACACGUGGGUAACCUGCCCAAGAGAUCGGGAUAACACCUGGAAACAGAUGCUCAUACCGGAUAACAACAGAUGAUGCCUAUCAACUGUUUAAAAGAUGGUUCUGCUAUCACUCUUGGAUGGACCUGCGGUGCAUUAGCUAGUUGGUAGGGUAACGGCCUAGCAAGGCGAUGAUGCAUAGCCGAGGUGAGAGACUGAUCGGCCACAUUGGGACUGAGACACGGCCCAAACUCCUACGGGAGGCAGCAGUAGGGAAUCUUCCACAAUGGACGCAAGUCUGAUGGAGCAACGCCGCGUGAGUGAAGAAGGGUUUCGGCUCGUAAAGCUCUGUUGUUGGUGAAGAAGGACAGGGGUAGUAACUGACCUUUGUUUGACGGUAAUCAAUUAGAAAGUCACGGCUAACUACGUG